UUAUUGAAGAUGAAUGUUGAUUGAAAGGCAGCAUGGUCAAAAACAAACAUAGCUCAUCAAACCACAGCAUGGCUCCAACCCAAACAGAAAACAAAAACAAAAACAAGUUGUGGCCUCUUUCAUCGGGUACCAAAUAUUUUGAUAACAUGGUCCGUUGGUUCUGAGCUUGUAGCAACCAGUUUAACAUUAGCAAAUAAUAACAUAAAAAAGAAAGAAAAAAUGUAUAACUUAGAUGUGACAAAUUGGGCAUUCGGGUCAAGUUGGAUUGACCUGCAAGCAUUUUAAUCCAUUAUCCGUCCCGCCCCACAACGCCCAUCUUCCCUGCUGUAAGCAUAACUACACCUUUUGGAUCCACUUGAAAAUAGGAAGAACGGACCAAAAGUUGUUGUAAAUGCGGGCCCCGAGGCCUUGAGGGAAAACAUGAGGGAUUCCUUUUAGGCCUCCCUUGCUGACACCCUACAUUAACGUGGUUGACAAAUUAGAAAAAGAAUGAAUAUUAACCAAAAAAAGGGAGUUUGUCCUCCAAUGAAAGUCCACUUCUAGUGGAAACCAUAAAACAAUAUAUAUACAACACAUAUAAGAAUGAAAUGAAAUAAGUGAAGGUGGCAAUUUCGACCCGUUUACUUAGAAUAGGUUUCUUUGAGUCAAGUCUAAUCUUUAAUGGGUCAAACAACCAAACUCAUAAAAAUGGCCAAAGCAGGACCAUGUCAAUCAGGUAGACAUUGACCCAUGUGUUUUUUUUUUGGGCAAUUUCAUAUACACUUUUUAACUCUCAUAAUAUCACUUUUAACCUUUAACUUUUAACCUGUUUGAAACAAAAUGAAUAAACAUCCUCUAAGGAGGGACGAUUAACACAAAACCAUGACGAUAAAUAAUGUAAUUACUAACAAUAAAAAAUAAACACAUCAGUAAAGAUAAAAUGUAAGCCCAAUACUAUACCGCAGUAUAACAUCUUUUUUCAUGUUCAGAAGGCUUUCCGAAAUGAACGGUCCAGAGUUAUAUCCGUUGUCCCAUCCAGUGGCGGAUCCAGAGGUAUUUUGGGUGUUCCCGGGAACCUCCUCGGUUUGGAACAAAAUGAAAAAAAAUAGUGGAAAUUUUAUAUGAUUUAGAAAAAAAUAGUGAGAAUUAGUGAAAAUCUAGCAAAAGGAACCCGGUGAAAAAAAUCCUGGAUCCGCCACUGGUCCCAUCGAAAUACUUUUAAAAAUGUAGUGAAUAAUUUUAGUAAGUAAAUAUAAUGUAAGCCAAAAAACUGCAUAGAAAAUGUAAGAAGAACCUGAGCUCCAGAAUCACAAAGAUACAUGCGAUUUGGAUGGAGUUCCGCACAUGUUUUAGCUUCUGGUUCGUAAUGAAUAAUUGUACCGUUUGGACCAACUGAUGAAAUAGUUGGAAAGCUCAAUCAUCUGAAAUGCUAAGAAAUACAAUACAAAAUCUGAUUAAGUAAUAUAACAAUAUAACUUAAUACAAUUGAGAUAAAUGAACAAACAGAGAAAGAAAAUUGUUGUUAAAGAUCAAAAUUAAUCAAACCUUAAAUAAAAAAGAACAACAAUCAAUUUUAAAAAGCCCUCACAACCCACAAAGACAUUCAAGUAAUGUGAUUCACAAAACUGACAAUCACAUCCAGGAACUAUGAAUGAGUCGGCAUCGUGUACUGAAAGGUUAAAACGAGUGCAAGCAAAUCCAAAAACAAACCUCUCCAUCCGAACCAUAGGACAACGGUUUUUCACCCUUUCUUGAAUCUAACCCAAAACGAGUGCAAUUACAGGUACCAUUUAACCGAUUUCUACUCUCGUUCAUCGAUUUCUAGUGUUUCUAUGUUGGGGGAAGGAAUUGAGACAAUAUCGGAGACGAUAGAACAUAACCAAAACAGCGCAGAAUUGAGAAAAUCACAGAUUAAUUGGAGCCGAUGAGCAGGGUUUAUAAAUUGCUAGGGUUUGUAACUGAUGUUUCUCAAUUGAUGAGGCAUCGGUUGAAGGGUGACGAAGUAUGGCUCGUUAGCCACUACCUCAUUUAGAAUACGGAGAAAUAGAGAACGACUCAUCCGAAAUCUUCGUCGAAAUAGAUUCGAGGGAUAUACCGGAUUUUCUGCAAAAUAAUCACGAUAUAAACGCUCAUGUCCCUGAAUAUGAUCGCGUCGAAUAAAUUUUCGACGUUUGCGAGUACAUUGUUCUUCGACAUCCUCAUAAAGAUCAUUAUCGCUAUCAUCAUCCGAAGAUAGGUAUCUCAACAACUUGCGAAAGAAUGUACGAACCAUUUGAUCAAACGGGCAAUUAACUCAACCUGUCAUCAUACAUGUUAUAAGUAAAAAAUUGUUAUAAACGCCAAAAAAGUGUCGGUUUUUCAGCAAAAAAAAAGACAAAAACCUGCAGGUUUUUUUCAGCAAAAAACGCUAAAAAAGUACUGAACUGGUUUGCAUCAGUUUUCAGCAAAAAACCUUAAAAAAAUACUGAACUGGUUUGCAUCAGUUUUCAGCAAAAAACCUUAAAAAACUGCAGCGUUUUUCGGUUUUUUUUUGGACUGGUUACCAGUUAUUAAACCAAACUGAACUGGUUUGCAUCAGUUUUUCUGCAAAAAACCUUAAAAAAACUGCAUAUUUUAUAUUCAAACUCAUAUUUUAUAUUCAAACUAAUUAGCUGUACUCUUGGUAGGUGCUAAUCUUCAUUCACUUUUAAGAUUCUUUUACUUAUACAAGAAUAUAAUUUUCUACAAAAACAUUACUUCGAUACUAAUUUUCUAAUUAUGCUACCUAAUAAAAGAAAGAGGUGAAUAAGCAUGAACUACAAUAGUCAUUGACAUGCUGAAUGUGAAAGGGCCAACUAUGUUAAUCCGUAAAGCCAAAAUCCCUAGCCAACUUGACUGCAAGCUUACCUAUUAAAAGAAAGAGGUGAAUAAGCAUUCACUACAUCAGUUAAUAUGAGGGAUGGAGAUGUGAAGGAUGAAUCGGUUGAUGAUAGAAAAAUCCUUUUCAAAUCGGAACCCUAGUUUCCAAUAGAAGCCUAUGUUUACAAAUCGAAACCAUCCACGUUUACAAUCUGAAACUGCGAAGUAGGAAUUUGUUGAUUUUGUUGCUGGUGAUUUUGUUGCUGUUGAUUUUGGGGCUGGCGGGAGAAGACAGGAAGAAGGUGUUUGUUGGAAAUGGAGAGGUACAGUAGCUUUUUAU
rnacentral:lncRNA from 1 species